rnacentral:lncRNA from 1 species
GUUGAAAUGAUUUAAAAAACACGCCUUUUAAAACACGAUUAGGCCUUCUCUUUUUUAGACAUGAUCGUCACGGCUAAAAAGACUAUAUAACAAAAAUGCGUCAUAAAAAUGAAAGUGAGACGGUUUUAAUCGUUGUGAAAUAAGAACGUUGAUUUAAAUGUAAAAAUAAAAACUUUUUGAAUGACUAAAGACAAGAAACACGAACUUUAAAUGGUAAAAAACAACGAAUAAAAGGGAACGUGAACCAUUUUAAAAUACGGACAAAAGAUUUUAAACGGUCCAAAAUUGGGGUAUGACACCGUUGUUUAUGAUGCUUACUCUGAUAAAUGUUUUAAGAAAAUUUUAUAUUGGGAAAACGGGGUGUUACAUGGAAAGGUGGGAUAUAAGUCGUAUGAAUGCAAGAAGGAGAUUGGGUGUUACAACUGUAGGGAGGCAGGUCAUAUCAGUACCAAGUGAACCAAGCCGAAAAAGGCGGCGUGGAGAGUUUUCGCAUUGAACGCAGAGGAAGUGGAGUUGCUGGAUAAUCUUAUCCGAGGU